GACAGAGGGUGCAAACGUUGUUCGGAAUUACUGGGCGUAAAGCGCGUGUAGGCGGCCAUGCAAGUCGGAUGUGAAAGCCCUCGGCUCAACCGGGGAAGUGCACUCGAAACUGCAAGGCUAGAGUCUCGGAGAGGAUCGUGGAAUUCUCGGUGUAGAGGUGAAAUUCGUAGAUAUUCGGCGGAACACCAGUGGCGAAGGCGACUCACUGGCCCGAUACUGACGCUGAGGCGCGAAAGCGUGGGGAGCAAACAGG
rnacentral:rRNA from 1 species